rnacentral:rRNA from 1 species
AGAGUUUGAUCAUGGCUCAGGAUGAACGCUAGCUACAGGCUUAACACAUGCAAGUCGAGGGGAAACGACAUCGAAAGCUUGCUUUUGAUGGGCGUCGACCGGCGCACGGGUGAGUAACGCGUAUCCAACCUGCCCACCACUUGGGGAUAACCUUGCGAAAGUAAGACUAAUACCCAAUGACGUCUCUAGAAGACAUCUGAAAGAGAUUUAAAGAUUUUAUCGGUGAUGGAUGGGGAUGCGUCUGAUUAGCUUGGUUGGCGGGGUAACGCCACAAGGCUACGAUCAGUAGGGGUUCUGAGAGGAAGGUCCCCCCANAUUGGAACUGAGACACGGUCCAAACUCCUACGGGAGGCA